rnacentral:rRNA from 1 species
GAUUUCUGGGCAUCAGUUUCUGGCCGGCCACGGUUUCGUGUGUUAGUGCUUGAAGCUUUGUCCAUCCUUCCAAUCGCCAGCUACUAUUCUUCAUUGAUUGGUAGUUGGUAUUGGAUCUUUUACUUUGAAAAAAUUAGAGUGUUUAAAGCAGGCUUUUGCUAUGAAUACAUUAGCAUGGAAUAAUAAUCUAGGACUUCGGUUCUAUUUUGUUGGUUUCUAUAACUGAAGUAAUGAUUGAUAGGGAUAGUUGGGGGUGCUAGUAUUGGCCGGCCAGAGGUGAAAUUCUUGGAUUCGGUCAAGACUAACUUAUGCGAAAGCAUU